UUGAAAUGGCGAGGCGAUGACCCCGGGGGCAGCACGGUCACCCCGCCCUUCACCGAAGGGCGAACCCCCGGUCGAGCCAGAGGUGAGACCGGCGCCGCACCCC
rnacentral:ncRNA from 1 species